rnacentral:lncRNA from 1 species
AGGGCCACUAAUAUACAAACCAAUUUGAUUACUUUUCCCUUCGUAAACUGCUUUGCACUUCCAUCUCAAUGUCUUUGGGACUUGCUUGUCCUCGAAGCUCUCUCAUCGUAAGGCCAACAAACCACUUUAUAAGGGAAGUUUUACCAUUUUUCAACUCUUCAAAUUGUUUUGAAUGUUUACUAAGAACACUUUCUACACAAGCUUUUAUUUUCUCGGAAUCGCCAAUGGUACCAAAAUUUUUUUCUUGGAUGAGAGUAGAUAUAGGUUUCGAUGAAGGUGAUUUUAUCAAUGAACGAAGGAAGAGUUUAGCAGAUGCAGCUGUAAGUUUCUUCUUGGAAACAAGAAGUACAAUGUCAGCCAAUUGCAAAGGAGGAACGAUAUUGAUGUUAGGGGAAGGGUCAAUUUCACGAACUUUUCCUACUAGUUCCACAGUGAUCCAGUAUGGAAGGGUACGUAAAGCAUCCUCUUUCAAAGAUUGAUUUACAUGGCUUAUAGAAUCGAUAUGGUGGUACGCAUUUCUGUAGUAGUGAUAGUAUUCCUUCACACUUAAUAAUGUACGGGCCUCUUUAUGACUAAUGGCAUGAGAACCCGUUGUAAGCUUUUGGAAAAGUUCGUCAGGCAGAGCAGGUAAUGAUUUUAAGACAGAAUUCACAUAACUCCGAGAAAGUAUGAUUGGGGGGAUAUCGGUUUCAGGAAGAAAUAGAUAAUCGUCGGAGGUUGUCUUAUUACGAAGAGGAAAUGUUUUACCAGUGAUAUCGUCGAAUCCCCUCGUUUCUGAGGGCCAAGAAACACCCAUAUUUGCCAAAGAGACUUGUCGGUCCACUUCAUGGCGAAUUGAAUUUACUACAUUUCGUACAUUUGACAAAUUUUUUAAUUCAACACGAGCCAACUGAGUACCUAAUUGGGGGAAAUGGGAUAUGGAUUUCUCUACUGAUAUCACUCCGUUGUUUUUAAAAUGAAGUUCAUUUAGAUUUUCUGAAGAGAUGACUGGCGCGAUUGAGACAUUAACAUCACAUCUCAUCCCUCCAUUUUCCAUCAACGCCUCAGAUAUUCCAGCGAAGCGAACGAUGGAUUGCAAUUUAAACAAGAAUGCAGAAACAGUAUUGACAUCAUGAAAGCAAGGUUUAGUGACGAUUUCCAAUAACGGAGUUCCUGCUCGAUUAUAAUCCAGUAAGAUUCGCGAUGGAUUUUUAGCAGACGUCGAUUUUGCAGUAUCCUAAAUAUAAGUUUGUUAAAAUACUUUUCAAAUCCAGUAUAUGGAAAGUUGUUUUGACAAUGUUUCUUACCUGUUCUAGUUGAAUAUGUUGUAUGGGGAUUUGAGUAUCUGGAACAUUGUCCAAACCAGCCGACAAUGGUAUAAAUCCAUUUCUUCCUAUAGGAAUUUCUUUCUGCGUAAUCUGAUAUCCCGCAGGUAAGUCUGGAUAAAAGUAAUGCUUUCUGUCGAAUUUGCAAACAUUCGCUACCUCACAAUUCAGUGCCAAUGCUCCUUUCACUGCAAACUUUAACGCUUCAGGAUUCAAAAUCUAUAAAAAAAUAAAAAGUUAAUAAGCUGUGAUAAUUGAAACGCAUUCGAUUCUAAAAAAACUCACCGGCAUAGAGCCUGGUAGUGACACAUCGAAAUACGCAACACAAGUAUUAGGCUGUGCAAGAGGGUUAACCUUUGCUGGAGAAAACAGCUUUUUCACUGUUGCAAGUUGUAAAUGUAUUUCCAAUCCAAUGGAAGCGGCCCAUCUUCCAAAAGACAUUCUAAAUAGCUUCCAUUGAAGUGUAGGAUAUCAGUAUUUGGCUAGUAUCCGUCGCGGUAGUCGAGCUCCUCGAUAGUAACAUAUAACGAAAAGCUAUAACGAUAAUAUUCACUUACGAAAUUCUUUGUUUAGACGGUAUUUUUAUUUACAUCGAAAAAGUGAUGUACUAAUGUAAUAUUAUUUAUUGACUGUAUAUAUAUGCUCAUUAGAAAAGGAAACUUUGAUGCAAAAGCUGUGGACGUGGUAGUGAGACCAUUUUAAGAUACUUUAACGUUUUUCAAC